rnacentral:rRNA from 1 species
GGUUAAGUGAAUAAGGGCGCACGGUGGAUGCCUUGGCACUAGGAGCCGAUGAAGGACGGGACUAACACCGAUAUGCUUUGGGGAGCUGUAAGUAAGCUAUGAUCCAGAGAUUUCCGAAUGGGGGAACCCAAUAUCUUUUAUAGGAUAUUACUUUUCAGUGAAUACAUAGCUGAUUAGAGGUAGACGCAGAGAACUGAAACAUCUUAGUACCUGCAGGAAGAGAAAGAAAAUUCGAUUCCCUGAGUAGCGGCGAGCGAAACGGGAAGAGCCCAAACCAACAAGCUUGCUUGUUGGGGUUGUAGGACUCCAAUAUGGUAGUCUGUUAGUAUAGUUGAAGGAUUUGGAAAAUUCCGCUAAAGAGGGUGAAAGCCCCGUAGACGAAAUGCUGACAACACCUAGGAGGAUCCUGAGUACGGCGGAACACGAGAAAUUCCGUCGGAAUCCGCGGGGACCAUCCCGCAAGGCUAAAUACUCCCUAGUGACCGAUAGUGAACCAGUACCGUGAGGGAAAGGUGAAAAGCACCCCGGAAGGGGAGUGAAAUAGAUCCUGAAACCGUGUGCCUACAACAAGUCAAAGCUCGUUAAUGAGUGAUGGCGUGCCUUUUGUAGAAUGAACCGGCGAGUUACGAUUGCAUGCGAGGUUAAGUCGAAGAGACGGAGCCGCAGCGAAAGCGAGUCUGAAUAGGGCGAAUGAGUAUGUAGUCGUAGACCCGAAACCAUGUGAUCUACCCAUGUCCAGGUUGAAGGUGCGGUAAAA